UUGAUUAGUUGAUCCUAGACUUUGUAUUAAUAUUAAUAAAUAGGUUUAUGAUUAAGUCUUACCUAAUCGUAUACAUAAGAGAGUAGCGAUCAGAAUUAGGCAGGAAUCAAAAAGAGGGCGAACUUGAUAGUCAGUUAAAACUUAGGCUGAAGUGGAAGAGGUCUGGUCUUGAUAAGUGAAGGAAGCUCUACCUAGGGCGUUUUUCGAUUGGAAUUUGGAAGAAUUGAGGCAAGUUUAUUCGGUUUUCUUAGUCUUGGAUAAAUGUAGAAAUGGUUAUAGAAUAAAUCGUUAAGUUUGUUGCUUAUGCCUGUGUUUGUUCAUAACUUAGGAUCUGUUUGUGAUUUUUGUAACGAACUACUUCUUUGUCGUGUCGUUACUGGGUUCUAAUUGGGACGGGUACAUAUAAGGUUCUUUGAUUCACGACAUGGUGUGCACGGUAGGAAAAGAAAAUGAAUAAUACAUUUAACCUAGCUAUUUGAUCAUCUGAACUUUUGCUCAUAAAUUAAUUGAACUAAAUAAAUAAUUUCUUGA